GACGAACGCUGGCGGCAUGCUUAACACAUGCAAGUCGAACGGAAAGGCCCGGCUUUUGUGGGGUGCUCGAGGUGCGAACGGGUGAGUAACACGUGAGUAACCUGCCCCUGACUUUGGGAUAACCUCAUAAAACUGGGGCUAAUCCCGGCUAGGAGCUCCCGCCGCAUGGUGGGGGUUGGUAAGUUUCGCCGGUUGGUGAUGGACUCGCGGCUUAUCAGGUUGUUGGUGGGGUAGUGUCUGACCAAGGCUUUGACGCGUAGCCGGGCUGAGAGGGUGAGCGGCCACGUUGGAAUGGAGAUGCGGCACAGACCCGUACGGGACGCAAGGGUGCAGAAGAGUAUACUGGGGGAUGAACGAUAGUCUAGUACAGCCGCGCGGGGGAUGACGGCCAGCGGGUUGUAAUGCACUUCCGUCUGUGACGGGGCGUGAGUGACAGUAAUGGGUAAAGAAGCACCGGCUAACUCCGUG
rnacentral:rRNA from 1 species